GUGGGGAAUAUUGCACAAUGGGCGAAAGCCUGAUGCAGCGACGCCGCGUGAGGGAUGACGGCCUUCGGGUUGUAAACCUCUUUCAGCAGGGAAGAAGCUUUUGUGACGGUACCUGCAGAAGAAGCACCGGCUAACUACGUGCCAGCAGCCGCGGUAAUACGUAGGGUGCGAGCGUUGUCCGGAAUUAUUGGGCGUAAAGAGCUUGUAGGCGGUUUGUCGCGUCUGCUGUGAAAAUUCAGGGCUUAACCCUGGACGUGCAGUGGGUACGGGCAGACUAGAGUAUGGUAGGGGAGACUGGAAUUCCUGGUGUAGCGGUGGAAUGCGCAGAUAUCAGGAGGAACACCGAUGGCGAAGGCAGGUCUCUGGGCCAUUACUGACGCUGAGAAGCGAAAGCAUGGGGAGCGAACAGGAUUAGAAACCCUAGUAGUCC
rnacentral:rRNA from 1 species